rnacentral:tRNA from 1 species
GGGAAUGGUCGGGAUAGCUCAGUU